rnacentral:rRNA from 1 species
UACAGAGGUCUCAAGCGUUGUUCGGAUUCAUUGGGCGUAAAGGGUGCGUAGGCGGCGCGGUAAGUCGGGUGUGAAAUCUCGGAGCUUAACUCCGAACCUGCAUUCGAUACUGCCGUGCUCGAGGACUGGAGAGGAGACUGGAAUUUACGGUGUAGCGGUGAAAUGCGUAGAUAUCGUAAGGAAGACCAGUGGCGAAGGCGGGUCUCUGGACAGUUCCUGACGCUGAGGCACGAAGGCCAGGGGAGCAAACGGG